rnacentral:rRNA from 1 species
UACGGGGGGGGCAAGCGUUGUUCGGAAUUACUGGGCGUAAAGGGCUCGUAGGCGGCCAACUAAGUCGGAUGUGAAAUCCCCCGGCUUAACCUGGGAACUGCGUCUGAUACUGGAAGGCUUGAGUUCGGGAGAGGGAUGCGGAAUUCCAGGUGUAGCGGUGAAAUGCGUAGAUAUCUGGAGGAACACCGGUGGCGAAGGCGGCAUCCUGGACCGAGACUGACGCUGAGGAGCGAAAGCCAGGGGAGCAAACGGG